rnacentral:sRNA from 1 species
AAUAACCAACAUUUAAUUAAAACCCACACCCCACUGUGUGAAUAUUUGUUUGUAAGUAAAACACAUAUAUUACUACAUUAAUAUCAUAAUAAAGAUAGAUAAAAUAGAAAUUGAUGGAGUAGAAAUGCAAAGCAGGUAGAAAAAAUAAACCUAAGUAGAAGAGCUCAUAUUUUCCUCGGGCACAUGGAUGAUCUGAUGUACCUUACUUUGGAGGCCACUGCUCUAGGGACUGGGGACUCAAGCACAGUCCCAGUCCACGAGGAGCUGAUGAAAAUCAACACCAAGGUUUAUAUAAGACACUUUGUGAUUUUCAAAGGGCUUUUAUACAUAGCAUGUACUUAUAGCUACUAUUUAUAUACAUUAUUUUACUUGACUUAUGAAAUAGUCAGGGCAAGUCUUAUUGUCUCCAUUUUACCAGGGAGGAAAGUGAGGCUGAGAGAGGCUCAGACCCUGCCCAGGUUCUUCCUGACUCACAGAGAAUCUUUUCUCAUCCUCUUGGAUGUGCUUCCCUGGGCUGCGUGGCUGCGUGGGCAGAUGCACCUGUGUAUGCUGAGCACCCACCCAGGACUUCAACCCCGCUACUAGGAGAAACCACCUCUCAGCCCCUCAAACAGCACCUCCACCCUGGCCUCCAGCUGGUCCCUGGCCUCCCUCCCUUCCCCCACCCAGGCCACCUCUGCUGUCUUUGCAGAAGCCGUUGGCCUGCAGCCAGAUGCCCGUGGUGUGGCCACAUCUCUGGGGCUCAAUGAGCGGCUCUUUGUUGUCAACCCACAGGAAGUGCAUGAGCUGACGCCACACCCUGACCAGCUGGGGCCCACUGUGGGCUCUGCUGAGGGGCUGGACCUGGUGAGUGCCAAGGACCUGGCAGGCCAGCUGACGGACCACGACUGGAGCCUUUUCAACAGUAUCCACCAGGUGGAGCUGAUCCACUAUGUGCUGGGCCCCCAGCAUCUGCGGGAUGUCACCACCGCCAACCUGGAGCGCUUCAUGCGCCGCUUCAACGAGCUGCAGUACUGGGUGGCCACCGAGCUGUGUCUCUGCUCCGUGCCCGGCUCCCGGGCCCAGCUACUCAGGAAGUUCAUUAAGCUGGCAGCCCACCUCAAGGAGCAGAAGAAUCUCAAUUCCUUCUUUGCCGUCAUGUUUGGCCUCAGCAACUCGGCCAUCAGCCGCCUAGCCCACACCUGGGAGAGGCUGCCUCACAAAGUCCGGAAGCUGUACUCCGCCCUGGAGAGGCUGCUGGAUCCCUCAUGGAACCACCGGGUGUACCGACUGGCCCUCGCCAAGCUCUCCCCUCCUGUCAUUCCCUUCAUGCCCCUUCUUCUCAAAGACAUGACCUUCAUUCAUGAGGGAAACCACACACUAGUGGAGAAUCUCAUCAACUUUGAGAAGAUGAGAAUGAUGGCCAGAGCCGCGCGGAUGCUGCACCAGUGCCGAAGCCACAACCCUGUGCCUCUCUCACCACUCAGAAGCCGAGUUUCCCACCUCCACGAGGACAGCCAGGUGGCGAGGAUUUCCACAUGCUCGGAGCAGUCCCUGAGCACCCGGAGUCCAGCCAGCACCUGGGCUUAUGUCCAGCAGCUGAAGGUCAUCGACAACCAGCGGGAACUCUCCCGCCUCUCCCGAGAGCUGGAGCCAUGAGGAAGGGCUGGGACUGGAGCUGGAGCAGGCACUUGUGGCCGGGAAAGCCAGGGCGUGCCGGGCCAAGAUACCCACAGGCUGGCCACAGCUGGGCAAGGCUCUCUGUGGAGUGGACUUGAGUCCCUGGAGCAGGCAGCGUGGAGGCAGCCGUCCCCUGUGAUGACUGGCGGCUAAGGAGGACCUCGGAGUGGCCCUGAGCAGGGAAUAAUGAAUGACCCAAGGCCAAGGAAGGGAGGACAGAGAGGCCCCAGGAGUGGGUGGAGAGUGUAGUGCGCUGGGACGUUGUGUGCAAUAGAGAGCUCUCCACACC